GACGAACGCUGGCGGCGUGCUUAACACAUGCAAGUCGAACGGAAAGGCCCUGCUUUUGUGGGGUGCUCGAGUGGCGAACGGGUGAGUAACACGUGAGUAACCUGCCCUUGACUUUGGGAUAACUUCAGGAAAAUGGGGCUAAUAUCGGAUAGGAGCUCCUGCUGCAUGGUGGGGGUUGGAAAGUUUCGGCGGUUGGGGAUGGACUCGCGGCUUAUCAGCUUGUUGGUGGGGUAGUGGCUUACCAAGGCUUUGACGGGUAGCCGGCCUGAGAGGGUGACCGGCCACAAUGGGACUGAGAUACGGACCAGACUCCUACGGUAGGCAGCAGUGGGGAAUAUUGCACAAUGGGCGGACGCCUGAUGCAGCAACGCCGCGUGCGGGAUGACGGCCUUCUGGUUGUAAACCGCUUUCGCCUGUGACGAAGCGUGAGUGACGGUAAUGGGUAAAGAAGCACCGGCUAACUACGUG
rnacentral:rRNA from 1 species